AACGAACGCUGGCGGCAGGCCUAACACAUGCAAGUCGAACGCUCGUAGCAAUACGGGAGUGGCAGACGGGUGAGUAACGCGUGGGAACGUACCCUUUGGUUCGGAACAACUCCGGGAAACUGGAGCUAAUACCGGAUGAGCCCUACGGGGGAAAGAUUUAACGCCGAAGGAUCGGCCCGCGUCGGAUUAGCUAGUUGGUGAGGUAACGGCUCACCAAGGCGACGAUCCGUAGCUGGUCUGAGGGGAUGAUCAGCCACACUGGGACUGAGACACGGCCCAGACUCCUACGGGAGGCAGCAGUGGGGAAUAUUGGACAAUGGGCGCAAGCCUGAUCCAGCCAUACCGCGUGAGUGAUGAAGGCCUUAGGGUUGUAAAGCUCUUUCGCCAGGGACGAUAAUGACGGUACCUGGAUAAGAAGCCCCGACUAACUUCGUGCCAGCCGCCGCAGUAA
rnacentral:rRNA from 1 species